ensembl:lncRNA
CGAGAAGACACUGAUGUACUCAUUCUAUUUGCAACUCAUAGAUUUAGAGCUGCAGUUCGUGUUUGCAUAGUCAUGCACACAUUCACACGCAUGAGAUGAAAAACGUAUCUCCUGUGUGUACAGACUGAACCCAAGUGUACUUACGCUAGGCCACUGAGGCAAACAGGAUGCGGAUUUACGAUCAACAAACAUCAAACGCCAGAAGCUGCUCCCGGCACAGCCCCAUCUCAGACCCGUAUCUCUGACUUCAUGUUUGCGGUGCUUCCUCCAUCUGGCUCCUGCUGCCUGAGUUUCCAGUGGUGAAAAGUCUCCUUUGGCUCAGAUUCUCAGGACACCGGCGAGUGUGCCUGGACACUGGCUCGGUUUUCUAGAAGACCCGGGGCUGGGGCUCCCUCUGCGCCUGCCCGCGUGGCCGCCGCAUGGAACAAGGUGAACGCAGGGACGGACAGCAGUCACGGAGAAAGAAGGACUUUGGAUCAGAUGUCUAUUAUAAACAGAGGAAGCUUGGGUUUCAGCAAGAGAAAAAAAUGUGGCUGGUGGUGAACCCGAAAUUGGCGUCUUUGGGUGCCUUUAAAUUAAAAAUUAUAUUCCGAGGACCUGGAAAGCCCUGUGGGAGUCAGAGGAGGCAAAACCUCAUCAAAAGCUGUAUCAUAUUCUCACAUUGAAUCUCACUGGAAAGUCAGGAUGAGAGAUGUGACUUAGGAGGUGGAUAACUUCAGUGUGGACCAGACUUUGUGUCUUGGGACGCAGUCAACCAACUACCCGGUGUGCACGGACCUUGUGCAUGAAGCUGCUCACCGCCAACUGCAAGCAGACGCCCCUUGCACGCCAGAAGCGUGGAGAGCAUGAGGCAGGCAAGGAGACAUCUGGGCACAAGAAACCUCUGACUGUAACACUUGUAAUAUUUAGUUGCUCUGAGAUAGUUUCUUUGGGGAAGUGAUAGGCUGCCAGCCGAGACACUCAGUGCAUCUGGGUAGGUCUUUCGUCUCAGAUUUCCAGCUGGUUACCCUGGAUGGCCACCCUGCGUGGAGGCCAAGGGCAGGGUGCAUGCCCGGCGCGGGGCGCACGGUGGAUGCAGAGGGAAUAAGCGCACGAACACAUAGCCAAGUGCUAAGAGGCACCCCAGUCCCAACUCCCUGACCGUGAACGCAGGGAUCCCCCACCAGGACGGAAACCGGCACAGGGGUGUAGGAGAAUGUGAAAAAAUGGACAACGCAAUGUGCCCGUAAACUAGAGAAAGGGGAUGCGGGGAGGAGAGAUUUUUGGAAGGAGAUGUGAUGACGCUUUGCUUCUGGCCCUGAGGCCUUGUGUGAAAGGAAGUGCUCUCCGCGCCCUCUGACCACUUCCUCAGCAGCCCCCUCGCUCCGCGGAGCUGCAGCUGGAAAAGAACCAGCCCAAGGAGUGCUGGGAAGACCGAGCUGCGUGAGCGACCACAGUCAUCUGUGGGUCGUCGGUGUCUUUCUGCCCUGCAAGCCCUCUCCAGCCUCCCCGCCCCCCGCGCUGCGUGGUUGGGUCGGUUAACCGAGCGCAGGGAGAGGAGCAGAUCUGCGUGGGAGGUCACGCGCGCGGGUGCACACGUCAGGAUGCUGGUGUGAGAGAAGUACUUGGCGUGUAGCAAUGAGGAAGGCGCGGAGCUGCGAGACGAGUGAAUUCAGAGCUGCAAGGUGAAGGGACCUUUGUUCC